rnacentral:rRNA from 1 species
CCUGCGGGUGGCUGCAGUGGGGAAUAUUGGACAAUGGGCGAAAGCCUGAUCCAGCCAUGCCGCGUGUGUGAAGAAGGCCUUCGGGUUGUAAAGCACUUUCAGUGGGGAAGAAAGCCUUGGGGCUAAUACCCUCGAGGAAGGACAUCACCCACAGAAGAAGCACCGGCUAACUCCGUGCCAGCAGCCGCGGUAAUACGGAGGGUGCGAGCGUUAAUCGGAAUUACUGGGCGUAAAGCGCGCGUAGGCGGUCUGAUAAGCCGGUUGUGAAAGCCCCGGGCUCAACCUGGGAACGGCAUCCGGAACUGUCAGGCUAGAGUGCAGGAGAGGAAGGUAGAAUUCCCGGUGUAGCGGUGAAAUGCGUAGAGAUCGGGAGGAAUACCAGUGGCGAAGGCGGCCUUCUGGACUGACACUGACGCUGAGGUGCGAAAGCGUGGGUAGCAAACAGGAUUAGAUACCCGGGUAGUC